GAGUACAUAUUAUACAAUACAGACAGUCAGUUGGGUUGCGCACGCGCAGCGGCGAACCGGCCGCGUUACCGGCACUUCACUGUAAAUGGAUACUACGGUCGGAUUGACUAUUUGAAAAAUAAGUUUUCUUGGGAAUAAUAUAACUAAUCAAGCAUUCAACGGUGCGGUCGGAUUCAUAGGGCUCUAAGAUGACUUCUGAAGUAAACGAAUGGUACCGAGGCCGCAAGGUUCUUGUCACUGGCGCCUCAGGUUUGAUGGGGAAAGUGCUGAUUGAGAAGCUUCUAUACAGCGUUCCAGAUAUCAGCUGCAUAUACGCACUCAUCCGCCACAAGCGCGGGAAAUCACCGGAGUCACGCAUCGAAGACAUGUGGAAAUUGCCAGUGAGUAACGAGGACAUUUUGCAA
rnacentral:misc_RNA from 1 species